GUAGGCAGCAAGCGUUGUUCGGAGUUACUGGGCGUAAAGGGUGUGUAGGCGGUCUUCUAAGUCUGGUGUGAAAUCUCCCGGCUCAACUGGGAGGGUGCGCCGAAAACUGGAAGGCUAGAGUGCGGGAUGGGAGAGUGGAAUUCCUGGUGUAGCGGUGAAAUGCGUAGAUAUCAGGAGGAACACCUGUGGUGUAGACGGCUCUCUGGACCGCAACUGACGCUGAGACACGAAAGCGUGGGUAGCAAACAGGAUUAGAUACCCUGGUAGUCCACGCCCUAAACGAUGCAUAUUUGGUGUGGGCCAUUCAUUUGGUCCGUGCCGGAGCUAACGCGUUAAAUAUGCCGCCUGGGGAGUACGGUCGCAAGGGUG
rnacentral:rRNA from 1 species